GCUCGAAUAGUUCAGUGGUAGAACGUCAGUCUCGUAUUCCGCAACACGCACAAGAAUUUAUUGUUGGAAAACUGAAGGUCCGCGGUUCAAUCCCGCGUUCGAGCA